GCUCUUCUAAAGAACUCAUUUACUUGUUUGACAACGUACCACACACAAAUUUUGGUCAGGUUUUUUUUUAUGUUCAUCUCUUAGGCGGCUAAUGAACUGGAAGUCUCACCGGUAGGCUUACUUCCACGUUGAAGAAACAGAACCUGUUGACAUGCAUUUUAUGAAUCAUAAUAAUGUUUUACUGAAGAAGGCAAGACAUCUACACCCCGAUGACUGAAGGACUGCAUUAGACAAGACACAUGUUGUUUGGAAGAGCAGCUGAAAUCUGAAGCCAGAAUGCUGUCUUGUGGUCUUGCUGACUGAACACAUGAUGAGAGGAAAUGUCUGCAGAUACAGGUACUGUCUGGAACAGUUC